AGUGAACGCUGGCGGUAGGCCUAACACAUGCAAGUCGAACGGCAGCACAGUAAGAGCUUGCUCUUACGGGUGGCGAGUGGCGGACGGGUGAGGAAUACAUCGGAAUCUACUUUUUCGUGGGGGAUAACGUAGGGAAACUUACGCUAAUACCGCAUACGACCUACGGGUGAAAUCAAUGGAUCUUCGGACCUUGCGCGAUUGAAUGAGCCGAUGUCGGAUUAGCUAGUUGGCGGGGUAAAGGCCCACCAAGGCGACGAUCCGUAGCUGGUCUGAGAGGAUGAUCAGCCACACUGGAACUGAGACACGGUCCAGACUCCUACGGGAGGCAGCAGUGGGGAAUAUUGGACAAUGGGCGCAAGCCUGAUCCAGCCAUACCGCGUGGGUGAAGAAGGCCUUCGGGUUGUAAAGCCCUUUUGUUGGGAAAGAAAAGCAGCAGGUUAAUACCCCGCUGUUCUGACGGUACCCAAAGAAUAAGCACCGGCUAACUUCGUG
rnacentral:rRNA from 1 species